rnacentral:rRNA from 1 species
GUGGGGAAUUUUGCGCAAUGGACGAAAGUCUGACGCAGCAACGCCGCGUGGGUGAUGAAGGUCUUCGGAUUGUAAAACCCUGUCGUCAGGGACGAAGGUUGGGGUCUUAAUAUGGCUUCAGCUUGACGGUACCUGGAGAGGAAGCCCCGGCUAACUCUGUGCCAGCAGCCGCGGUAAUACAGAGGGGGCAAGCGUUAUUCGGAAUUAUUGGGCGUAAAGGGCGCGUAGGCGGUUUUGUAAGUAGGAUGUGUAAUCCCCGAGCUCAACUUGGGAACUGCAUCCUAGACUGCAGGACUGGAGUGCUGGAGAGGGUGGUAGAAUUCCACGUGUAGCGGUGAAAUGCGUAGAGAUGUGGAGGAAUACCAGUGGCGAAGGCGGCCACCUGGACAGUAACUGACGCUGAGGCGCGAAAGUGUGGGUAGCAAACAGGAUUAGAUACCCUGGUAGUCC